CCUACGGGGGUCAGCAGUAGGGAAUCUUCCACAAUGGGCGAAAGCCUGAUGGAGCAACGCCGCGGGGGUGAAGAAGGUCUUCGGAUCGUACAACCCUGUUGUUAGAGAAGAAAGUGCGUGAGAGUAAAUGUUCACGUUUCGACGGUAUCUAACCAGAAAGCCACGGCUAACUACGUGCCAGCAGCCGCGGUAAUACGGAGGUGGCAAGCGUUGUCCGGAUUUAUUGGGCGUAAAGGGAACGCAGGCGGUCUUUUAAGUCUGAUGUGAAAGCCUUCGGCUUAACCGGAGUAGUGCAUUGGAAACUGGGAUACUUGAGUGCAGAAGAGGAGAGUGGAACUCCAUGUGUAGCGGUGAAAUGCGUAGAUAUAUGGAAGAACACCAGUGGCGAAAGCGGCUCUCUGGUCUGUAACUGACGCUGAGGUUCGAAAGCGUGGGUAGCAAACAGGAUUAGAUACCCGUGUAGUC
rnacentral:rRNA from 1 species